rnacentral:rRNA from 1 species
GGGGGGGGGGGGGGGGGGGGGGGGGGGGGGGAGGUCGGGGGGAUGGGGGGGGGUUGCUCCUGGGUGCAGCGGCGGGCGGGGGGGGAGUGCCGAGGAGUCUGCCUGGUAGUGGGGGAUAACGUCCGGAAACGGGCGCUAAUACCGCAUACGUCCUGAGGGAGAAAGUGGGGGAUCUUCGGACCUCACGCUAUCAGAUGAGCCUAGGUCGGAUUAGCUAGUUGGUGGGGUAAAGGCCUACCAAGGCGACGAUCCGUAACUGGUCUGAGAGGAUGAUCAGUCACACUGGAACUGAGCCACGGUCCAGACUCCUACGGGAGGCAGCAGUGGGGAAUAUUGGACAAUGGGCGAAAGCCUGAUCCAGCCAUGCCGCGUGUGUGAAGAAGGUCUUCGGAUUGUAAAGCACUUUAAGUUGGGAGGAAGGGCAGUAAGUUAAUACCUUGCUGUUUUGACGUUACCAACAGAAUAAGCCCCGGCUAACUUCGUG